UUUGAAGCGUGGACGCCAGUCUGCGUGGAGCCGACCUUGAAAUACCACCCUUUAAUGUUUGAUGUUCUAACGUGGAUCCGUAAUCCGGGUUGCGGACAGUGUCUGGUGGGUAGUUUGACUGGGGCGGUCUCCUCCUAAAGAGUAACGGAGGAGCACGAAGGUUGGCUAAUCCUGGUCGGACAUCAGGAGGUUAGUGCAAUGGCAUAAGCCAGCUUGACUGCGAGCGUGACGGCGCGAGCAGGUGCGAAAGCAGGUCAUAGUGAUCCGGUGGUUCUGAAUGGAAGGGCCAUCGCUCAACGGAUAAAAGGUACUCCGGGGAUAACAGGCUGAUACCGCCCAAGAGUUCAUAUCGACGGCGGUGUUUGGCACCUCGAUGUCGGCUCAUCACAUCCUGGGGCUGAAGUAGGUCCCAAGGGUAUGGCUGUUCGCCAUUUAAAGUGGUACGCGAGCUGGGUUUAGAACGUCGUGAGACAGUUCGGUCCCUAUCUGCCGUGGGCGCUGGAGAACUGAGGGGGGCUGCUCCUAGUACGAGAGGACCGGAGUGGACGCAUCACUGGUGUUCGGGUUGUCAUGCCAAUGGCACUGCCCGGUAGCUAAAUGCGGAAGAGAUAAGUGCUGAAAGCAUCUAAGCACGAAACUUGCCCCGAGAUGAGUUCUCCCUGAGACUUUAAGUCUCCUGAAGGAACGUUGAA
rnacentral:rRNA from 1 species